rnacentral:rRNA from 1 species
GUUGACCUCGGAUCAGGUAGGAAUACCCGCUGAACUUAAGCAUAUCAAUAAGCGGAGGAAAAGAAACCAACAGGGAUUGCCUCAGUAACGGCGAGUGAAGCGGCAUCAGCUCAAAUUUGAAAUCUGGCCUUCGGGUCCGAGUUGUAAUUUGUAGAGGAUAUUUCGGGCACCGUCGCGGUGUAAAUUUCUUGGAACAGAAUGUCAAAGAGGGUGAGAAUCCCGUCUGAAGCCGCGAUAGGACCUAUGUGAAAUUCCUUCGACGAGUCGAGUUGUUUGGGAAUGCAGCUCAAAAUGGGUGGUAAAUUUCAUCUAAAGCUAAAUAUUGGCCAGAGACCGAUAGCGCACAAGUAGAGUGAUCGAAAGAUGAAAAGCACUUUGAAAAGAGAGUUAAACAGUAUGUGAAAUUGUUGAAAGGGAAGCGCAGGCAAUCAGACUCGAGCGCGGGGUUCCCCCUGGCUUCUGCCAGGGUCACUUCCCCGUGACCGGGCCAUCAUCAGUUUGGGGGGUUGGUUAAAGACCUUGGGAAUGUACUCAAUCCUCCGGGGUUGAACUUAUAGCCUAGGGUGUCAUGCAGCCUCCCCGGACUGAGGAACGCGCUUCGGCGAGGAUGAUGGCGUAAUGGUUGUCUGCGACCCGUCUUGAAACACGGACCAAGGAGUCUAACAUCUAUGCGAGUGUUAGGGUGUCAAACCCUGGCGCGGAAUGAAAGUGAACGGAGGUGAGAAGGCGUACGCCCGCAUCAUCGACCGAUCCUGAUGUCUUCGGAUGGAUUUGAGUAAGAGCAUAGCUGUUGGGACCCGAAAGAUGGUGAACUAUGCGUGAAUAGGGUGAAGCCAGAGGAAACUCUGGUGGAGGCUCGCAGCGGUUCUGACGUGCAAAUCGAUCGUCAAAUUUGCGUAUAGGGGCGAAAGACUAAUCGAAC